AGGAGCGACCAAAUCAGCAAUAAUGCACGGGAUUCCAUCAGAACUCUAAAGAUAAGCGUGCUUGGGCGAGAAUGGUACUUAUUGAUAUGUCACAUAUGAUUUCUA
rnacentral:rRNA from 1 species